rnacentral:rRNA from 1 species
GACGAACGCUGGCGGCGUGCUUAACACAUGCCAGUCGAGCGGUAAGGCCUCUUCGGGGGUACACGAGCGGCGAACGGGUGAGUAACACGUGGGUGACCUGCCCUCAGCUCUGGGAUAAGCCUGGGAAACUGGGUCUAAUACCGGAUAUGACCUUUCCUCGCAUGGGGUUUGGUGGAAAGUUUUUUCGGCUGGGGAUGGGCCCGCGGCCUAUCAGCUUGUUGGUGGGGUGAUGGCCUACCAAGGCGACGACGGGUAGCCGGCCUGAGAGGGCGACCGGCCACACUGGGACUGAGACACGGCCCAGACUCCUACGGGAGGGAGCAGUGGGGAAUAUUGCGCAAUGGGCGGAAGCCUGACGCAGCGACGGCGCGUGGGGGAUGACGGCCUUCGGGUUGUAAACCUCUUUCGACCCCGACGAAUUUUGACGGUAGGGGUAGAAGAAGCACCGGCCAACUACGUG